UCAAACUCAAAUUGAUUUAAACUGUGUGUUGCAUUUCUGAGUGUCACAAUUCAGUUGAAUUUUUACGACCUUUUUUAAAAGACAAAUCACUAUAUGAUCACACGUACGAAAAUGAGCAUAUUCAGUUCCAAAUCUCUCAAAGCAGUUUAUGCAGAUAUAUAAUUGAAAUACUUUUUGGGUGGUACUUGAACGUUUGAAAUAAAUGUUCAGAUGUAUCACAAUUACAAAUUCCUUCAAUAUCCUCCAAGAAAAAACCUUUUAAUAGAUUUUACUAGGCCUCUAAAAUAGUGACACACAAUUAUAAAUACAUACAUAAUCAUGCAUUUGAUUAUAGACAGGUAUUAUAGAGUUUCACAGUUAUAAAUCGAGCAUGUCCUUGAGUCAAAAAUGAGCCGUGUCGUGGGAAAACCAACAUAGUGGCUUUGUGACCAGCAUGGAUCCAACAAAAGGUCAUACAGCGACUUUCAAGCUUUUGAUGAUGGAAGAGGACUUCAGGCCAGAUAUCCCUCCGAGAAUUAGUUUAAGACACUUGGAAAUCUUCACCGAUCUCCCGUGGACCAUCCAGACGACUUCCUCACAUGACAAUUCUCUAAAUCACAAGUGUCGUUUCGAACCCGCAGGCUGUGGAGAGGGGGCAAGUGAUUCGAAACUAGCGACCUUAGACACCAGACAACUGGGGCACCUUAUAGGAUAUAUAACAUGUAUUAUAUGAAAACAUAAAAGAACAGUUAUCAAGUCCGUUGAUUUAUGUGCAUGAAUUUUAAUUUAUCAAUCUUUACUGCUCAAAGGGAAGAAACUCAAAAAUUAUUUCAUGUGAU
rnacentral:lncRNA from 1 species